CUCAUUUCCUCAUUUAGCCCCUGUAUAUAAACACCUAAAUAAUCACCUACUACUUUUGUUUGCCAGUUGCGUCCUUUCCAUGUGGUUCCAGACAUUUCUGCUUGUAUCCUGUCCCUGAUAUGUGAACCUGCCUGUGGCCUACCUGUGUUUGGAACUUACUUUGCUUCCUUCCCCGGCCCUGUGGGAUUUGUUUGCCUGUUUGGACUGCCUUCAAGUUGCCUGUUCAUAUUACCCUUAAAGGAACGUGGCUGUAAUUCAACCUGCACUGCCUACUGUAUAGCCACCUCUCCAAUAGAACUUUAAGCUUGGAGAUUUAUGACCCUACUGCCAGACCUUCAGUCAUCUGUCAACCUGUGAGCAGCUUCAUGGAUGCAGGUUCUGACUGACCUUUGACCUCAGCUAUGAGGAGAGAGCCUGAUACCUUGAAUCCAUCGUAUACAGCACCACCAGGAGCCGACCACCUUUGAGGAUUACGCUGCUCGAGUCUACAGUCCUGCUCCCCGCACACACCUGUCCUCUGACACAGGACUGGAUGGCUCUGCAUCAGGUGAAACCUCGAUGAACAUCCUUUGUAUUCAUCUACCAAGCAUUAGUGAUAUCGGUGAGGUGAGGUGCCUGCACAGAAGGAUACUAAAAGACAAUAUCCAUCCCAGCAAAAGCCUUUUCACCCUACUGCCGUCUGGCAUACCAACAGACUACUUAUUUCUCUGCUCAGGCUGUAAGACUCCUUAACUCAACAUCCAUACUCUACCAUGAAGAAAUGUUUAGUUUUUUUGUUGUGUGGCAUAAAGGGACUACAAUUUGCAUUUUGUCGUGCAACCCUGUUGUAGAAUGAAAAUAAAUGAA